rnacentral:rRNA from 1 species
UGGGGAAUUUUGGACAAUGGGCGAAAGCCUGAUCCAGCAAUGCCGCGUGUGUGAAGAAGGCCUUCGGGUUGUAAAGCACUUUUGUCCGGAAAGAAAUCCUUGGCUCUAAUACAGUCGGGGGAUGACGGUACCGGAAGAAUAAGCACCGGCUAACUACGUGCCAGCAGCCGCGGUAAUACGUAGGGUGCAAGCGUUAAUCGGAAUUACUGGGCGUAAAGCGUGCGCAGGCGGUUUGCUAAGACCGAUGUGAAAUCCCCGGGCUCAACCUGGGAACUGCAUUGGUGACUGGCAGGCUAGAGUAUGGCAGAGGGGGGUAGAAUUCCACGUGUAGCAGUGAAAUGCGUAGAGAUGUGGAGGAAUACCGAUGGCGAAGGCAGCCCCCUGGGCCAAAUACUGACGCUCAUGCACGAAAAGCGUGGGGAGCAAAACAGGAUUAGAUACCCUGGUAGUCCACGCCCUAAAACGAUGUCAACUAGUUGUUGGGGAUUCAUUUCCUUAGUAACGUAGCUAACGCGUGAAGUUGACCGCCUGGGGGAGUACGGUCGCAAGAUUAAAACUCAAAUGAAUUGACGGGGUCAUAGCUG